rnacentral:misc_RNA from 1 species
GAUGAAGAACGCAGCGAAAUGCGACAAGUAAUGUGAAUUGCAGAAUUCAGUGAAUCAUCGAAUCUUUGAACGCACAUUGUGCCCCUUGGUAUUCCGAGGGGCAUGCCUGUUCGAGCGUCAUUAUAACCCCUCAAGCUCAGCUUGGUGUUGGGGCCUGCUGCACUGGCAGCCCUUAAAAUCAGUGGCGGCGCCAUCUGGCUCUAAGCGUAGUAAUUCUUCUCGCUAUGGAGUCCUGGUGGAUGCUUGCCAUCAACCCCCAAUUUUUCUAUGGUUGACCUCGGAUCAGGUAGGGAUACCCGCUGAACUUAAGCAUAUCAAUAAGCGGAGGA